CUUUAGACUCUGAUCUUAUAUACCAGUGGAAAAACACUGUGUACAACCCAAUGCAGAAAGACCACUAAAGACUUAAUGACCUCUGGAAAGAGGAUUUUAUCACCCUGCAAAGCAAAGAGCCAUUAUCAACUAAAGUAUUAUCUAAAGGCAAUGGGAACAUGGAAUUCAGUGGAGGAAGGAUGUUAAGGCUACCAACUAAGUUCUCACCUUCAGCUACAAGAAUGAGACCUAUAAAAGGGCCACUUGAAGAUGCCAUUGAAGAUGAGGAAGAAGAAUGUCCAUCAGAGGAAACAGACAUCAUCUCCAAAGGAGACUUUCCAUUGGAGGAAAGCUUUUCCACAGAAUUUGGGCCUG
rnacentral:sRNA from 1 species